UACAGAGGGGGCAAGCGUUGUUCGGAAUUACUGGGCGUAAAGGGCGCGUAGGCGGUCUUGUAAGUCUUGUGUGAAAUCCCUCGGCUUAACUGAGGAACUGCACGAGAUACUGCGAGACUUGAGUUCGGGAGAGGGAAGCGGAAUUCCGGGUGUAGCGGUGAAAUGCGUAGAUAUCCGGAGGAACACCGGUGGCGAAGGCGGCUUCCUGGACCGACACUGACGCUGAGGCGCGAAAGCUAGGGGAGCAAACGGG
rnacentral:rRNA from 1 species